UGUUCCAGUGAAAACAUCUUGACAUGGCACAGUUGGAACGGCACAGGUGUAAAUAAUACAAUUAAUGGUGACUGGAUUGCGUUUAGCUGCUUCAGUUUCAGGUUAAAGGGAUUUUGUAUGGCGGCUUGUGACAAAGUCAAGAUCAAAUAAUAGAAACAGAGAAGUCCUAAUUGUACAUUUAAAAUAUGCAAAAGCAGUUGUGACUUCAAAAUUUGGCUCAAUGAGUUAGUCCCUGGCAAUGUUAGUGAUCAAUUUGAAUAUUUAGAAUCAGAUUUAGGGUGAAAAGAUUGCAGUGCUCAAUCUGACAGACUCGAAUCUAUCUCCUGGGCCCAAGUUUUUUUUUAUUAUGUGGCUAUUAAAACUUUUAAUGACUAUCUAAACUGACACUGGCCAUCUAGACAUGAUUUUGUUUUGCAAAACAAAAUAAAAUGGGAGCCAUAAAUAGAUAUUCUGAGAACUGAGCCAUCAGUAAUACCUGUACAUCUAUAUGUCUUCUGCAAUAACAUUUAAUAAUGUCUGCUGUGAGGAAGGCCUCUGUUUAAUCCUUGUUAUGUUAAUUAGCUGCCACAGCAAAUAUAAAUGAAACUCAGGUAUUCUAGUAACAGGUAAGUUACUCUGUCAGCAAGGACUUUAAAAGCAGCCAGAGAUUAAAGUUGGAUUUGUUCUUUGUAUUAAUAAGUACAAUAUAUUAGCAAGUGUCAAAGGCUAAAACUGCAGCAGAAUGAACCAACUUCACUCCUGUGCCUUGGUAUAAAAUGAUCAGUUGCUAUUGAUCAAUAAUUUAGACAAGUGCCAGAUUAUUGACAGGAAGACAAAAUAUGUUUGGUUGCCUAUGUUUGAAAAAUCCCCCCACACACUCAAUCACUAGAACUGAAAUUGCUCCGUGGUAUAUAAUAUCGCAGCAAUGUUUCUUUCCCCCCCUGCAGAUCAAUGCUAAUUGAGGUCCUACAUGAUGAAUGUAGUCUGAAAUGUUUUUAACCCACUGACUGCUGAGCAGCAACAAACAUAAGCAACUGCUGGGCUAAGUUAAGGCUGAAGUGAAGCCUCCGCUGAGGGACAGCGAUACAAUAUGAUGAUCAGCACAGCCAACAGAAGGAUGCCGGUCGAUCCCUGAAGCCCUUCAAAAGCAACUCUCUUGGUGCAAAUUCAGCUUGUGGACAGCACAUAGCAGAUGGGGUAAACCAUGCCAUCAAGUGGAAAAUAGACCUGUUGUGUUGUCACGGAGACAAGAUACAAGAUACAAGAGUCUGCCAAUUGGACCACCAGAGGAAACUGUAAGGGGGAUUUUUAACAAGUAGCAGUAGCAACAACAUGAAGCCUUUAUUCUUAACUUUAUAUUCACUGAGUCAAAGAGCCUGUUUCUGUUUAAGACAGACUUACCUGUCAAACACCUUUUCCGCUAAAUCUGAAAAAGAUAGAACUGGUGUUUUUCCUGUACUAUUGAUGCUUUAGUGGGACAUUUAACACCAUGCGCUGUUUCUGUCAUUUCAUGUUCUGUAGUGUAAAAGUCAAGCAAAGAGGAUUAAACUGACAAAUAUCCUGACUCACUGCUGCCACCUUGUGCCGGUGAAGGGAAGAGGCAAAGCCCCUGUUUAUCCAAGCCACUUUGCAGUCAUAAAAUUUUGUAGCGGUGCCAUUCACAGUACGCAACAACAUAUAUAAGCUCAUCUACACUGAUUUGAAAUAAGUACAUAAAUAAAAUGUGGGCCUGGGUUGUUAAUUUUCACAUUUCUAUCUAAGUGGCAUUUCCCCUGGUCUAAAACAAGUUUUCUUUAUGUUAUUUUAGCCUCUGAUCCAACAAAAUGUCAUUCAGAUGGUUUCAGCUCACUUUAUUUAAUAUAAUUAUAAAAUAAUUCACAUCAGUGGCAGGAAAGCAGCAUUUUUUUUUCUACAUUUAAAGAAGGAAAAAACUAAACUAUCCUAGUACUAUCCUGAUUUCUUUUCUUUUUUCAUAAAAAAGAAGCACUUGCACCAAACAGGUACUUUCAAAUUUAUAGGAGGCAGUAAGGGCGUAAACAGACAACUCCAUCACAGCAAAGUCAAGUGUCAUUUUUGGCAGUAUUUCACAAUUUAAUAGUACUUCCAUAAUUCAUAGGCCAACAACAUCUCAACAGGUCAUUUUUACAAAAGCCAUUUAAGGGACUUAAUGGGAAAUAGUCAUAAUAAAUUCUUAUACUUAUUCAAAAGCUAUGUAUUUAUUAAUUUUAUGAAUUAAAGGGGAAGUUCACCCACAUCACAGAAAAAAAGAAAAUUCUACUCAUUACACUGUACAUGUAACCAUGCAAUUCAUCUCAGCUGUCACUGGGAAACUACUGACAGCAGUGAGACUUUACAGAUGAUCCUGAGGAGCCAGGAUCAUUUCUGGAAGACGUGCAGUAAGCACCGGAAACAAAACUGCAUCCACCUUCCUUGUUUGUUGGUGGCAGCAGAAGACGCAGAAGUGGAGAUAAUAAAAUCUGAAUAAACAAAACAAAUAUUUACACAAUUAAGUGGUAAGUGCGAGUAUGCUUUUUGUGCGAUUUGGUUGAAAUGACCCUUUAAGCUGGCACACACAUGCAAAAUGAAAUGUUUAAUUAAACUCAAA